AGUGAACGCUGGCGGUAGGCCUAACACAUGCAAGUCGAACGGCAGCACAGUAAGAGCUUGCUCUUACGGGUGGCGAGUGGCGGACGGGUGAGGAAUACAUCGGAAUCUACUUUUUCGUGGGGGAUAACGUAGGGAAACUUAAGCUAAUACCGCAUACGACCUACGGGUGAAAGCAGGGGAUCUUCGGACCUUGCGCGAUUGAAUGAGCCGAUGUCGGAUUAGCUAGUUGGCGGGGUAAAGGCCCACCAAGGCGACGAUCCGUAGCUGGUCUGAGAGGAUGAUCAGCCGCAGUGGAACUGAGACACGGUCCAGACUCCUACGGGAGGCAGCAGUGGGGAAGAUUGGACAAAGGGCGCAAGCCUGAUCCAGCCAUACCGCGUGGGUGAAGAAGGCCUUCGGGUUGUAAAGCCCUUUUGGUGGGAAAGAGAAGCAGCAGGUUAAUACCCCGCUGUGCUGACGGUACCCAAAGAAUAAGCACCGGCUAACUUCGUG
rnacentral:rRNA from 1 species